rnacentral:tRNA from 1 species
AAUGGGGUGACUGAUAAAGGUGGUAGAUUGUAAAUUUAUUUAUGGAAUUUUUCCCCUCAUUA